ensembl:misc_RNA Metazoa_SRP Metazoan signal recognition particle RNA
ACUGGGUGUGGUGGCUCACACCUGUAGUCCCAGCUACUUGGGAGGCUGAGGUGGGAGGAUCACCUGAGCCUGGGGAGGUUGAGGCUGCAGUGUGCCGUGAUCACGCCACUGCACUCCAGCCUGGGCAACAGAGUGAGAUCCCCCCAUCU